GGGAGCUCCUGCAAGAUUUUAUUCAACGGUACACAAUAGGGCAAAAUUAAGAUUAAAGCAGAACGUAUACAUUACUGAUUUGUCAAGUUGCUAAGACAAAUCCAUACUGACACAAACAACGGAGGCUGACAACAUACGAAGCACGGUGGCCAUCUCUAGUGUCCGUACUUUUGGAACUCCCAUUCCCUGUUGUCCAGUGGGCAUACUUGGCGAGUUUUGAGCCAGCGAGAGAUGCAGUGGAAGUGGAAAGCGUGAUUGCAGACACCCCAUGCAACCGUGCACUCUUCAGAUGUAGCCGAUGCUUGGUUUGCUUGACAUUCUAUGCAUAGAUCCAUAAUAUGGUUUCUGCAAAUGGCACAGUUAUCAACCACAAUGUCCCAUGCCCACAGAGCUACUGCGUUCCAUUUCUUCACUUCGAAGCGCUUCUUGCCGGCGCCGCUGUUGGUGCCGCUGGGGGUGUCCACAUCCAUCGCGGCCGCCAUUUUGGAUGCGUGAAUAGGCCGUUCUGCGCUGUGCGCAUGCGCGGCGGAAAGGGGCGCAGGGAGGAGUGAGCGGAAGGCGUAGGCGGAGCUUCCGCCAGGCCGCGCCCCUUCCCCACCCUUUCCGUCACCAACAGGUGCGGCGACGGCGGCAGCGCGGCGCCCGGGGAAGGCCGGGAGCGCGGUCACGUGGGUGGGCGUUUAAAGGCGCCGCGCAGGGCGGGGCCCGUUCUGGGUGUUCCCUUAAGCGAAGGGAUACGGAGACCGUCGGAUAGAUCGAUGCAGGCGGGGCGGCGGGCCGCAGUGCUGUUUAGAGCACAAUUUGAAAGAUUUGUUUACACAAAAGCAUGAAUUUUAACCUUAAAUCUAUCUGGUGAUGCCACCCUAAGCUCAGCAGUCAUUCUGGACGUUAACAAAAUGUGCAGUGGUGCAUACGUGCGUCAGAGAAACGCUACCAUCCAUUUGGCUUUCAGUGAUCGCAAUAUAAGGUUACAGCCAUCCCACCUCGGCUGGUGUUACCGUGGGGAGGUGGCUGCCAGCGGGUGACAGCCACACAGCAGCAAUCAUACGGCCUGGAGUCGUUAUCCGGUGUAAAACCAGCCCUUAUUGUCCGGCAGCGAAAAGAAUAGAGCAGUGCAGGCCUUAAGGGAAGAGGUUGCCUUGCUCUUCAGUCCUUGCUCCCUUCCCAGCCACUCAGAUGGGCUGAGCUGUGUAUGCUUUGUUACCGUGCCAGUCUCAGUGCUACCCUAGUGCUGUGGGAUCUCUCUGGGGCACUCGGGAUGCACUCAGGAAUGAAAAUGUUCUGAAAGAAAGCAGGAAUUCACAUGCUUUGAAACACUCUUUAGAGCAAUACUUCAUUGUACGGGAGGUUGUAGGAGGUUGUAGCGAGGUUGGCCUAUUCUUGCAGGUAACAGCAGUAGGACAGGAGGUGAUGGCCUCAAGUUGUGCCAGGGGAGGUUCAGGUUGGAUGUUAGGAAAGAUUUCUUCUCCGAAAGAGCGGUGCUGCAGUGGCACAGGCUGCACAGGGAGGUGGUGCAGUCACCAUCCCUGGAUGUGUUCCAGAGCCGUGUGGAUGUGGCACUGAGGACGUGGUCAGUGGGCAUGGUGGGGAUAGGCUGGCAGUUGGACUGGGUGAUCUUAGCGGUCCUUUGCCAAUGUUAAUGAUUCUGUGACUGUAUGAUUCCACAGUCAUAGUAACAGACUGGUCUCCAAGGUCCUCAUGUCUGCUAGGAGCAAAGUGCAGGAAGGAAGGAGAUAGCCCUUCGCUAAGUGCUUACAAACCUCAGGUUUACAUCUAUGAAUGACUUUUGCCACUGCCUUCCUGUGUGUCACCUUCUCAGUGCUGCAGGUGUGAUUCUGAUGAUGCUCUAAGCAGCAUGUGACAGAAAUUACCUGGUAUAUGAGUCUGGUUUCUGUACUUUGUUUGCAAACCGAGGGGUAAGAAUGAAGUGCAUUUUAUUACUCUUCAAUAGAAGAGUAACGUUGGGCUGGCUGGCUGCCCUCCAGUUGCUGAUGCCACUAAAUGUAAUUGAUUUUACUAAGUUGGGAUUUCUAGCAGCCUUUGCUGCUGUGAGUGUCCAGACAGACAGCAGUCACAAAUGGUACUUAAUUUGUUGUCUUUCCACAUUGCCACAAAACUUCUCAGAGUUCAUGAAGUAAGCAGACAACUUCUCUCCAAGACUCUGCAUCAUCCCCACCUGAUCCAGAGUGCUCAAAGUAAACUUGAAUUCAAAGAACAGAGCCAGAGGGGUAGAUUAAGCAAUAUAUCCCAUAGAUUUUUGGACCAGAUGAUGGUUGGUUUCUGCAUGAACCCAAUCCCUCUGCCUCUGUGUGUGUUUUCUAGAUGAUGGUCACAUUAUACUCCCAUGUAGUACUAUUGUUUUUUCAAUCUGUUACUAAAACCUCAGGUGAGAAAUGAAGGCUCCUGCUCCCCAUAAUCUGACUGAGAUGAACAGAUGAGAUUCAGAGAGAGGAAAGAGUUGCAGCAUUUCCUGGGAUGUUGACUAAUUGCUGCUCUUUCUUUCUCAUGGUAUUGCACCUCAAGCUGAUUGAUAACUUGAAGAUAAAAUAACAACCAACCGUCAUGACUCAAAACCAACCUGCAGGUUACCAGGUGCUUGCAAAAACCAUGGUACUUAAUGACUGUGCCCGACCUACUGCAAACAGCCUUUCCUCAUGCAUGAAAAAGAGCAACGGGAAGCGUGGUUCUAGGCUCAGCAAAUACCUUUGUCUCUGCAGCAGGCAUCUCAGCCCCUCAUCACGCCCAGCUAUCAGCUGCUACAGGAAGAUAUGACUGGGACAGAAGAAUCUCAGUGCAUGACAGUGAGGAUGUUGGGCUGAUUAAAAAAAUGGGGAUGGGGAGCCCCUUGGUGCUCCAAGGAAAAGACAUGGGAAGGAGGGAGAGCUUGAGGGCUUUAACCUGCGCUAAGAGCCUGGAGAGAUGGCAGAGACACCGGCUGCAUUUGUCAUCUGGGGAGAGGAUGAGUCCUUCAGUGGGAGAAGUGAUUGUUUUUAACCUGAAUGCAGACAGCUGGCCAGAAGACACGUGCAGGAUGACUGGAGGCGGUGGGACAGAGUCAGUGCAGGAGACAGCACCGUCAACCAGAGCAGCAGUAGCUUUUUCUCAGGUGAAAAGUGAAAGGAUGUGAGGAAAUGGCCUCACAUUGCAUCAGUGAAGGCUUAGAUUAGAUGUCAGGAGGAAUUUCUUCAUGGAAAGUGUGGUUACACAUUGGUACUGGCUACCCAGGGAAGUAGUGGAGUUUUCAUCCCUGGAGGUAUUUAAGAGAUAUUGGGAUGUGGUGCUUAGGGACAUGGUUUAGUGGUGGACGCAGUAGUGUUAGGUGGUGGUUGGACUUGGUGAUCUUACAUGUCUUUUCCAACUGAAGUGAUCCUGUGAUGUGAGCACCAGGUCACAGUCUGGACAUCCCAUGUUGCUUAGGCUGAGUUUUCAAAGUGCCUUUUAUCCUUCUAAGGAGGAUUAAAAGAAGAACAAACAACAGUGAAUGUUAUGAUAGCUCAAUACAAGUAGUUAUAUGCAUCUACUGCUACACGUAAGCAACAAUGGAAAAUGUGGCAGGCUAAUUAACAGCAAUCAGGUAAAACCACGAGGAGUAAGCAAAGCAGUAACACAGGUUUGUCUGCAUAUAAAUCAAUGAACUCCUACUGAAUAGGGAAAUCCAUGAACACUCAGUAACAUGAGGCAGUUCCAGACUGGUGUGUGGGAGACACUAAAAUACUGUUUACAGAUAUUCUUAUCUACGGCUCCUCCCUGAUAGUCUUGAAUGUGGCACAGCCUCAGGAGAGGGAAUAAGUACUAAAAUCAGAAAAAAAUACUAUCAAUGAGGGAGGUCUGGAAGCUACCUCUGCUGAGUCAUGGUGGAUUGGUGCUGUUGAAAGGAGGUGAGAAGCACUGUGUUACAACUUUGCUUUUGCUUUCCCCCAUUAAUUCUUUGUCCUCCCCCACCAAAAUAAGAGUAAACCAAAAUUCCUCUAAAGAUUACUACUGACUGAAUCACGUUCCUGUUCAGCAUGACAGAAUUCCAAAGCCUCUACCACCCUUUGUCACAAUGGAAGAGAUGCUGCAAUGGGCAAAAGCAUUUUGUCAAAGCCCUUUGCCAGCAAAGUGGUAAUCAUAGCACAGGCACUAUCUGGCAUUUGAAAACAGUAGAAGUCCAAAUCCAAGAUUUUAUCUAUCUAUCUAUCUAUCUAUUUAUUUUGCUGGGGGGAGGAGAGGGUGGAGAUGGAGUUCAGAUGCAAUUAUACCACUUCAUCUUGACAACUGUAAAAGAAAUUGGGAAAACAAAGUAGCUAGCUGACAGACACAACUGUGAUUGGUACAAAAACUGGAUGGAUAUUACAAGAGAAGCCCAGAGAGAAGGAGCCAGCAGUCUCCUGCCUCCCGUACCAGCAUAAGCAAGAUCAAAAAAUUGUGGUACCUAGCUCAGAUAGUUUUCAGAAAGCAGAGUUUCAAAUAUUUCUGAUGCCCGUUUGCUCUUCCUCAUGAUUGCCUAGAUAAAGAGAAUACGCUGAAUUCACCCAUAUUUUGGACUCCACUGUAGAGUUCAUUAUGGUAGUUAGGGCAGUGAAUCUCACAAGAGAGGUGUUCUGCCUGACAGUCCUAUUUUUAACAAUAAAAUAAAUUAAUACAUUAGCAUAUUCCUUUGCUGAAUGGGUUCCUAUACCUUCAACACAUCUGCAUCAAACAUCCUUUCCUUUUAUCUCCAACUCAGCUCAGUUGGAAAUCCCAAUGGGAAGAUGGUUGAAAGGAGGUUGUAGUAACAUGGGGGUCAGCCUUUCCUCCUAGGUAACAGCAAUAGGGAAUGGCUCAAGUUGCAGCAGGCGAGGUUUGGAUUGGAUAUUAAGAAAAAUUUCUUCACAGGAUGAGUGGUGCUGCAGUGGCACAGGCUGCCCAGGGAGGUGGUGGAGUCACCGUCCCUGGACGUGUUCCAGAGCCGUGUGGAUGUGGCACUGAGGGCAUGGCCAGUGGGCACGGUGGGGAUGGGCUGAUGGUUGGACUCGAUGAUCUUAAAUGUUUUUCCUAUGUUAAUGGUUUUAUGAUUCUACAAGGCAGUAAGUAUUCACCAAUCAGAAGGCAGGAGCUCUCCAGUCCUGGUAGCUUCAGAAAAAUAGGAGUGAGCAGAGAAACAGCUCUUGGUAACUUGCCAUUGCAAAGUGAUGACAUCCCUCCUUCCACUCCCCCUCCCCACCCCUGGGUAUUUUUUUUUUUCCUCCCUCUGCUCAACACAAUCAUGAAUAUUAUUUCUCACCUUAUCUUCAAAAUCACCAAUUCUUAUCUGUGCUAAGAGGAAGGGGAUAAAAGCCAUAUUCAGCCUCAGGAAUACUCUCCCACCCGUCUGCUGUUUCAGUAUGAGUUGAAAAAGGAAGGAUGGGACAGAAUGCAAGAGCUUCAGGGAGGUUUUACCAAGACACACAGGAAAUUCUGUACAGGGUCUGCAGUCAUUCAAGAUAACUGGUUGUACAAGUCUGAAUGGGAAUAUUGCAAGUAAUUCUGAGGAAUCAGGAAAGAUGGGAAAAGAAAGAGGCCAGAGGCCUGGCAAUACCACACGAAUGCAAACCGUCAGCUGCACCAAACCCUUUUCACUCCUGGAGUCAAAAACAAUGCCCCAUUCUCUUACCUUCCUUUGGUCACAAAGUGGGACAAAGUACCUGCAUUUACCUACGUUUUUCAUGCUGGGGUUGGACUAGCAAAGACAGCUUCUUCAGAAGCCCAUCCAUCAGCUGCCUUCGGUUAGAAAGGAGCCUGAAGCUGAGAAAGAUUCCUUCUAACUGGUGAGGCCAUACCUUGAGUACUGUGUUCAGUUUUGGGCCCCUCACUGUAAGAAAGACAUCGAGGCCCUGGAGUGUGUCCAGAGGAGGGCAACAAAGCUGGUGAGAGGUCUGGAGCACAGACCUUAUGAGGGGUGGCUGAAGGAGCUGGGAUUGUUCAGUCUAGAGAAGAAGAGGCUCAGGGGAGACCUUAUUGCUCUCUAUAACUACCUGAAGGGAGGUUGUAGUGAGCUGGGGGUCAGCCUCUUCUCUCGUGUGACUAGUGAUAGGAUGAGAGGGAAUGGCUUCAAGCUGCACCAGGGAAGGUUCAGACUGGACAUUAGGAAAUACUACUUCUCUGAAAGGGCGGUCAGGCACUGGAAUGGGCUGCCCAGAGGGAUGGUGGAGUCACCGAGCCUGGUGGUGUUCAAAGAGCGUUUGGAUGUUGUGUUGAGGGACAUGGUUUAGCAAGAACCAUUGGUGAUGGGUAAAUGUUUGGACUGGAUGAUCCUGUAGGUCUUUUCCAACCUUAGCGAUUCUAUGAUUCUAUGAUUCUAACCCUUCUUUCAUACAGCAAAACUGUUGAUUAAAACCGUGUGGAGGGUAUAAGGAAGACUGUUCAGUUUCUCUUUCUUGUCCCAGGGGAACAAGAUGACAGGGAAAUGGAGAAGAUGACAAUCUAUCUGAAUAAGAGUGGAGUGGGGAGGCGGAGGAACCAAUAGCCCCCAGAAUCUCACUAAUGAAACGCUCACUCCCACAUUGGCUGAUUUAAGAGUUCCUUAUGCUAAACUGCUUCACCCUCAGUUUGCCUUGCUAUUUCUUUCUAUUUUCUCCUCUCACCAUUGCUGUCUCUUUAUUGUAUGUUUGUAUUUUACUGCAUUUUUAAAUGUUAUAAUCAAAACCCAGGUUGCAGGUUUGUUGGCAUACAGAAGUUAUCAGGUAAUCUGUCCCUUCUACAAACACAUUUCACUCCAUCUUGUGUGCGUUAAGAAUCAAAUGGGAGUGUGGUUCAUUUUGAAUCUCCCCUUCCUUUGCCUCAAGACCAGAAUGUAUGAAAUUGCCCUGCUGACUUAUGGGUCAUAAAAAGGCUUCUCUGCAGUCCUGCAAAGCUCUGUGGUGUUGUUCUAGGAGAGAGGAGUAAUGCGCUCUCUGCAAACACCAGGGCUGCUGUGAUGGCAAGCUAAAGGCUGGAUAUCCUGGUGUCCCAGUCCCCAGAAGGCGUGACGUGUUUGUGCUGCUAGAGGAUUUCCCUUAAACAUGCUUCAAUUCUUUUUAGACUGGGGAUGUAGAGGCAGCCCCCUCCUGCUGGAAUCUGGUGAGUGUGAUGCCACCAAUCUUGUUCACUGCCAUUAGAGCUGCCAAAAAGUGGGGAAAAAAACAACAGGUGGUCAUUUGACAGUAAAGAGAAGAUUGGCAUGCAGCCUCAUUGAGGCCUUCCUGUACCUAAAAGGAGCUUAUAAUCAGGAAGGAGAGCAACUUUUUACGUGGGCAGAUAGUGGUAGGACAAGGGGGAACGGAUUUAAACUUGAAGAGGAGAAAUUAAGGUUAAAUGUUAGAGGGAAAAUCUUUACUCAGAAGGCAGUGAGGUGCUGGCACAGCUGCCCAGAGAGCUGUGGUGCCCCAUCCCUGGAGGUUCAAGGCCAGGUUGGAUGGGGCCCUGGGCAGCCUGAGCUGGUGGGUGACA
rnacentral:lncRNA from 1 species